rnacentral:tRNA from 1 species
GCCUGGGUGGCUCAGUUGGUUAAGCGUCCGACUUCGGCUCAGGUCGUGAUCUCACAGUUCAUGGGUUCGUGAGUUCGAGCCCCACCUCAGGCU